UACAGAGGGGGCAAGCGUUGUUCGGAAUUACUGGGCGUAAAGCGCGUGUAGGCGGCUUUGCAAGUCGGGUGUGAAAGCCCUCAGCUCAACUGAGGAAGUGCGCCCCGAAACUGCAGAGCUUGAGUGCCGGAGAGGGUGGCGGAAUUCCCCCAAGUAGAGGUGAAAAUUCGUAGAUAUGGGGAGGAACACCGGUGGCGAAGGCGGCCACCUGGACGGUAACUGACGCUGAGACGCGAAAGCGUGGGGGAGCAAACAGG
rnacentral:rRNA from 1 species